AGUACGGGGGUUGGAGCAAUCCAGCAACCGGCGAACGGGUGCGUAACACGUGAGCAAUCUGCCGAUGUCUGGGGGAUAGCCGGCCCAACGGCCGGGUAAUACCGCAUACGCUUGCGAAGAGGAGUCUCUUUGCAAGGAAACCUCCGGGGGACAUCGAGGAGCUCGCGGCCUAUCAGCUAGUUGGCGGGGUCAAGGCCCACCAAGGCGACGACGGGUAGCUGGUCUGAGAGGAUGGCCAGCCACAUUGGGACUGAGAGACGGCCCAGACUCCUACGGGAGGCAGCAGUGGGGAAUCUUGCGCAAUGGCCGAAAGGCUGACGCAGCGACGCCGCGUGUGGGAGGACGCCCUUCGGGGUGUAAACCACUGUUGCCCGGGACGAACAGUCAGUUUCGACUGACCUGACGGUACCGGGUGAGGAAGCACCGGCUAACUCCGUGCCAGCAGCCGCGGUAAUACGGAGGGUGCGAGCGUUGUCCGGAAUCACUGGGCGUAAAGGGCGCGUAGGUGGCGUUCCAAGUCAACGGUGAAAGCUCGGGGCUCAACCCCGAGUCGGCCGUCGAUACUGGGAGGCUCGAGCACUGUAGAGGCAGAUGGAAUUCCGGGUGUAGCGGUGGAAUGCGUAGAGAUCCGGAAGAACACCGGUGGCGAAGGCGGUCUGCUGGGCAGUAGCUGACACUGAGGCGCGACAGCGUGGGGAGCAAACAGGAUUAGAUACCCUGGUAGUCCACGCCGUAAACGAUGGGCACUAGGUGCUUGGGGGAGCGACCCUCUGAGUGCCGGCGCUAACGCAUUAAGUGCCCCGCCUGGGGAGUACGGCCGCAAGGCUGA
rnacentral:rRNA from 1 species